GGUCUUGUAGCUCAAUUCGUUAGAGCAUCGGUCUUAUAUGCCGCAGGUUGAGUGUUCAAGCCCCUCCGAGACCA
rfam:Triticum aestivum genome assembly, contig: Triticum_aestivum_CS42_TGACv1_scaffold_113940_2AS